CUGAGCUGUCGACACGAGCUGUUGCUGGUCCUCAAACAUUGGGGGCAUGUGCACGCUCUGUUCACACAUCCACUCACACCUGUGCACCCUCUGUAGUUCUAUGGUCUGGGGGACGCUCGUCUUCCUCCUGUAGUUCUACGUUUUUACACAUACACCGUAGCAAAGUCUUUUGGAAUGUACAUCGCGUUUAACGCAAUACAAUAC
rnacentral:misc_RNA from 1 species